UCCUCGACUGAUGACCUUAUUCAGACAGAAGGCAUCAAAAACUGGGAAGACAGCAGAUGCCCUGGCUGAAAUUCUAAGAAUUCACGAUGAACAGGACAUCCAUGAUAUCCACACCAAGCGCACUACCGUUCUCCACGCCCUUCCUGUCUAUCUGCGUGAGGAUGUCUCUGGAUUUUUCAGAACCUGCACUGACGAAUCUGAUGAGUUGGAGCUUGAUGGUGUUGAAGUGGCCCUCUUCACUGUCAUCAGUGACCAUGACACGACAAGUCCAGUUCACUACCAACCUGUGAAAAUCUCUGUCGUCAUUG